AUUCGUUAUGUCAUUUUCUGCAUUAAACGUCCAAGGGAAAUGAAAUUUGUGAUGUUUGGAUAAUUAACUCGUUAAAUAGGUUCAUUGAGAUUGUGUCAAAAUGGCUUGGGUCAACACACAUGACGCCUCUGUCUUUGUCCGUGGUUUGAAUACUUUCCUGGAAGAAAACCACAAGGGACACCUACUGAGGGACUCCGGCUAUCAACAAUAGGUACAACAAUGCCCAGUCAAGUGUAUUGUGGUUGAGAGGGCUUUUGGACUGCCAAAGAGUAGAUUCAGGUGUCUACAUAAAACUUGCGGUUGUUUAUUCAUGAGACUCGAUGAGUGCUGUCAAGCAGUGGCUGCAUGAAUGCGCCUGCACAACUUAUGCAUAGAUUAGCAGGUGCCACUACCUGAACAACUUAAUGAGGCACAGGAAGUGGAUGACGUUGUGCACAGUCCACAACAGGACCAAAAUGCAGCUUAUAUGGACAACACAUCAUUAACUUAUUUAUGUAGUUGCUGUUUUAUGCUCACAUGUGCACGAAGUGCUAUAGGUGGGUCAUUGUGGUCUGUCUAUGUUCGGCGACAUGUGUUAAUAUUCAAUAUUUGACUCUUUGUUGAUGAAAGAUGGUCAUUAUGUACGAUGAUUACAUGUUUUCUUUAUAUUAGAACAAAGUGAAAAUAAAUUCUACUCCUUUAUUUAUUUAUCUUUGUAACAU